UGGAUUGAGGUGUUAAGUUAUAUCUAUUUUUACCUAGUUGAGAACUAAGCCCAAGAGAGUGCCUGCCACUGGAGAAAGCUGGUGUGUCUAUUUGCAUACAGGCAUGCAAGGGGCAUGGAGUUUGUUCAUGGGACGUGUGUUGUUCACGUAGAAAGCCUCAGGGCAGCUGCUGUCUGCUUCUUGACUGCCUGUACCUUCUUCUAUGACUGAGUUUUCAUGAGCAUCACCUCAGAGGCUUUGUUCUUGGUGAUUUCCCUUCAAUUCUCCAUCAGGAAGGGCAGAGGGAUCGAGCAUUCUACCCACACUUCUCGAGCUGUUGUAGUAAGUGACCCUCAUCCCACAUUGACGACCAAAUGUCACCCAUGUUUGAUUGACAGCCAUUGCUCCUGAAUGCAAAAGUAUGAUUUAGGAAUCAUUUCUCUUUACCUAUUUAGAGCCGUUCUUGGGUGCCUUAUGUAUUUGUGAGUGUGAUAACUCAGCUGAUAUCUACUCUGAGGGCUUUCUAUUAAUAUCUCAAAUCUGGGUUGUUUCUUCUGCUCUCCCGCUGCCAAUGGGGAGGGGGGUUUGUCGCAUUUCCCCCUCCCUCAGUGUGCAUUCGGGAAAUCUGCUCCAGAGUUUAUGGAGCUCUUUCUGCG